rnacentral:rRNA from 1 species
GAUGAACGCUGGCGGCGUGCUUAACACAUGCAAGUCGAACGAUGAAGCCCAGCUUGCUGGGUGGGUUAGUGGCGAACGGGUGAGUAACACGUGAGUAACCUGCCCUUGACUCUGGGAUAAGCCUGGAAAACUGGGUCUAAUACUGGAUAUGACUUCUCAUCGCGUGGUGGGGGGUGGAAAGAUUUAUUGGUCUUGGAUGGACUCGCGGCCUAUCAGCUUGUUGGUGUGGUAUUGGCUCACCAAGGCGACGACGGGUAGCCGGCCUGAGAGGGUGACCGGCCACACUGGGACUGAGACACGGCCCAGACUCCUACGGGAGGCAGCAGUGGGGAAUAUUGCACAAUGGGCGCAAGCCUGAUGCAGCGACGCCGCGUGAGGGAUGACGGCCUUCGGGUUGUAAACCUCUUUCAGUAGGGAAGAAGCGAGAGUGACGGUACCUGCAGAAGAAGCGCCGGCUAACUACGUG